AGAGGACGGUAGCAACAGUUGCCUCGAGACCCCCGCUCGCCAUAGUGACUGUAGUCGUGGAGACAGUUACUUACCAACGGGAGCAACACUCAGCAACAGCAGCAGCAGCAACUGGAGGAGAGAGAGGGAAAAGAACAGUAAAGCCAGGGCAGAUCUAAGCACAAGGCUGAGGAGAAACCAUGCAGCGGUCAGAGGGGGGCUCAGAGACGGCAUCCACUGUGGCGUUAAGAACAUCCACUUCAGCCCAGGCACCAGUGGUUCAGCCCGUUCCCGCUUCCCAACAGCGUGUUUUAGUUCAGGCCACCGGGUUCUCCCAGAAGGGAGCUCCAGGUGCAGCAGUUGCC